rnacentral:rRNA from 1 species
GACGAACGCUGGCGGCGUGCUUAACACAUGCAAGUCGAACGUGAUUUUUAUGGAAUAGCCUUCGGGAUAGGAAAUAGAAUGAAAGUGGCGAACGGGUGAGUAACACGUGAGCAACCUACCUUACACAGGGGGAUAGCCGUUGGAAACGACGAUUAAUACCGCAUGAGACCACAGAACCGCAUGGUAAAGGGGUCAAAGAUUUAUCGGUGUAAGAUGGGCUCGCGUCUGAUUAGCUAGUUGGAAGGGUAAAGGCCUACCAAGGCGACGAUCAGUAGCCGGUCUGAGAGGAUGAACGGCCACAUUGGAACUGAGACACGGUCCAAACUCCUACGGGAGGCAGCAGUGGGGAAUAUUGCACAAUGGGGGAAACCCUGAUGCAGCGACGCCGCGUGAGCGAAGAAGGUUUUCGAAUCGUAAAGCUCUGUCCUAUGAGAAGAUAAUGACGGUAUCAUAGGAGGAAGCCCCGGCUAAAUACGUGCCAGCAGCCGCGGUAAUACGUAUGGGGCGAGCGUUGUCCGGAAUUAUUGGGUUUAAAGGGUCCGUAGGCGGGCUAAUAAGUCAGAGGUGAAAGCGCUCAGCUCAACUGAGCAACUGCCUUUGAAACUGUUAGUCUUGAAUGGUUGUGAAGUAGUUGGAAUGUGUAGUGUAGCGGUGAAAUGCUUAGAUAUUACACAGAACACCGAUAGCGAAGGCAUAUUACUAACAAUUAAUUGACGCUGAUGGACGAAAGCGUGGGGAGCGAACAGG